rnacentral:piRNA from 1 species
UGCCUCUGUCCUCGGUGCUGUGCUGCU